rnacentral:lncRNA from 1 species
ACAACUAUAAGACAGCCAGAGAACGAGCCAAAAAAGCUGUAGAAAGUUCAAACGUGGACACAGAAGAAGAGGUGGUAAAAGAGCGGGAAAAAGUACCAUCAAAAUACUGGAGCGAGAGUUCAGGUAAACACACGUGAUUGCUUUUGUCAUGCAUUACUCCACUGUUUAUGUAUAAAAAUCAUGCCAUGAUUACAGAGAAAAGUACUGUAUAAAACUAAAUUAUAUAUAAACUAUUUCAUCCUGAAUAAAUAGGAGAAUGUGAGAUUCCUACCAAAAAAGAAGAAUAAUGUCCACAUCCUCUCAGAAGCCAUCAAGCCUCCCAAAGCCUCCAAGUUGUAAGUAACAGAUUGAACUUUUGGUGUCAUUUCUUGUGUUGUGAUUUGAUGGUGGUGCGUCAAUUAGUGAACAGGUAAAAUAAGUGCAUUGCCAGCUGACGGGAAGAAGCUAUUUUGUGUGAAAUACAAACAGAUUUCUAAUAUAAAAAUCCUAUUUUAAAAAUGUUUUGAAUUUGGUUGGAGUGUCUUAUAUUGUGUGAGUUGUAGGUUGGUAUUUUUUGUCAUUGCAUUUUGUGUAAAAUUCCUUGUGAAAGAACUCAACUCCCCUGAACUGAGUUUAUCCCAUGCUUUCAAUGUCUGUUUUUAGACAAACCACCUCCUGACAUCACAGCUCACUCACCUGAGGAAGAAGAGCCAUCCCUGCCAAAUCUUUCAGCUAAUAAUACUUUUCAUGAUACAGUUUUUGAGCCUGAUGGGAGGUAGCAACAUUGGAGACGCUGUGAGGAGAAUCCUUCGGAAAAUAGCCACCAUCGAGGCCUGGUCAAAUUACAGCCUUAAAGGCCGAAAAGGAAAACUGAACUUCAUUGGGACAGCCUUCCACCAUAUUGUUUUAAGUAUGCUUUUUAAAACUUCUCUCUUCUUUUCACUUCAUCAUGCAACUUUUUAAAGAGCAAAUGAUAAACAGAAACAUGUCUGUACUGUCCCUGUACCUUCGAAUAAUUUGUUUUCUCGUUUUUGACUUCUAAACGAA